rnacentral:rRNA from 1 species
UACGUAGGGCGCAAGCGUUAUCCGGAAUUAUUGGGCGUAAAGAGCGCGCAGGCGGUCGUUCAAGUCGCGUGUGAAAGCCCCCGGCUCAACUGGGGAGGGUCACGCGAUACUGAUCGACUCGAAGGCAGGAGAGGGUAGUGGAAUUCCCGGUGUAGUGGUGAAAUGCGUAGAUAUCGGGAGGAACACCAGUGGCGAAGGCGACUACCUGGCCUGUUUCUUGACGCUGAGGCGCGAAAGCUAGGGGAGCAAACGGG